UUUCUCAAUGAUGGAUUUGUGGUC
rnacentral:piRNA from 1 species